rnacentral:rRNA from 1 species
UUGGGCUAAAGCGUCCGUAGCUGGCUGGCAAGUCCGUCGGGAAAUCCACUCGCCCAACGAGUGGGCGUCCGACGGAAACUGCACAGCUUGGGACCGGAAGGCUCGAAGGGUACGUUCGGGGUAGGAGUGAAAUCCCAUAAUCCCGCACGGACCACCGAUGGCGAAAGCACUUCGAGAAAACGGAUCCGACAGUGAGGGACGAAAGCCAGGUUCUCCAAC